rnacentral:rRNA from 1 species
AAAUUGAAGAGUUUGAUCAUGGCUCAGAUUGAACGCUGGCGGCAGGCCUAACACAUGCAAGUCGAACGGUAACAGGAAGCAGCUUGCUGCUUUGCUGACGAGUGGCGGACGGGUGAGUAAUGUCUGGGAAACUGCCCGAUGGAGGGGGAUAACUACUGGAAACGGUAGCUAAUACCGCAUAACGUCGCAAGACCAAAGAGGGGGACCUUAGGGCCUCUUGCCAUCGGAUGUGCCCAGAUGGGAUUAGCUAGUAGGUGGGGUAAUGGCUCACCUAGGCGACGAUCCCU